rnacentral:lncRNA from 1 species
GGCCUUGCUCUUAUGUCAUCUGACUAAAAGUUUCAUAGACCAAAGAUAACCAUCCAACCUGUUGGAAUACUGAAACAAUUGCUGCCUGCUUUCCACACACUACAUAAAACAUGUGGAUAUCCUAAAUUCUACAAAAAAGAUUUGUAAGCAGAUCAAGCAAUACUGGGACUCCCUCUUCUCCAGAAGAGACAUCCUGGCCUCCAUGCAGAGGAAUGUGUGGAUGGACAUAUAUUUAAGGAAGACACUAAACCAGAAAAUACUACAUUACACCCUCUUAAAAGACUUCUAAGAUUGUUGUCAUGCCUACCACUGACAUUCAGAUGAUGUGUAUUCUUGAUUGUGAUUUCAUGUUUGGAGCUGAUGAAGGAGUUUGAAGUCUCCAGAGCAGCAAGGAGAGUGGGGAGUAGAACUCAUCAUCUUUAGGUCACUCAUCCCCG